ACAAGCGGUGGAUGAUGUGGAUUAAUUCGAUGCAACGCGAAAACCUUACUACCCUUGACAUGUCCGGAAUCCUGCAGAGAUGCGGGAGUGCCGAAAGGGAAUCGGAACACAGGUGCUGCAUGGCUGUCGUCAGCUCGUGUCGUGAGAUGUUGGGUUAAGUCCCGCAACGAGCGCAACCCUUAUCAUUAGUUGCUACGCAAGGGCACUCUAAUGAGACUGCCGGUGACAAACCGGAGGAAGGUGGGGAUGACGUCAAGUCCUCAUGGCCCUUAUGGGUAGGGCUUCACACGUCAUACAAUGGUCGGUACAGAGGGUUGCCAAGCCGCGAGGUGGAGCCAAUCCCAGAAAGCCGAUCGUAGUCCGGAUUGUUCUCUGCAACUCGAGAGCAUGAAGUCGGAAUCGCUAGUAAUCGCGGAUCAGCAUGUCGCGGUGAAUACGUUCCCGGGUCUU
rnacentral:rRNA from 1 species